rnacentral:misc_RNA from 1 species
UUUUUUUCAGGUGUAAUAUUGGAAUCUUGGUUUCAACCUGAAAAUAUAAUUCUAAUUUCUUUUGGAAUCUUGGUUGGCAGAGCCAAGAUUCUAGAAAGACAGCCUUUGAUUCUUGUAGAUAUGAGCGUUAGGCAUGAUCUAGAUGCUGAGACAUAUAGUUAGAAGUCUUAGAACCACCUCCUAAUUUGGAAUCUUAAUGGAUACUUCAACAUUACUUCUGAUAUCUUAAUUGUUGAAAGCUUAAGAAGAGCCAUUUAUGCAGUGAGCA